GACGAACGCUGGCGGCGUGCUUAACACAUGCAAGUCGAACGGAAAGGCCCUGCUUUUGUGGGGUGCUCGAGUGGCGAACGGGUGAGUAACACGUGAGUAACCUGCCCUUGACUUUGGGAUAACUUCAGGAAACUGGGGCUAAUACCGGAUAGGAGCUCCUGCUGCAUGGUGGGGGUUGGAAAGUUUUGGCGGUUGGGGAUGGACUCGCGGCUUAUCAGCUUGUUGGUGGGGUAGUGGCUUACCAAGGCUUUGACGGGUAGCCGGCCUGAGAGGGUGACCGGCCACAUUGGGACUGAGAUACGGGCCAGACUCCUACGGGAGGCAGCAGUGGGGAAUAUUGCACAAUGGGCGGAAGCCUGAUGCAGCAACGCCGCGUGCGGGAUGACGGCCUUCGGGUUGUAAACCGCUUUCGCCUGUGACGAAGCGUGAGUGACGGUAAUGGGUAAAGAAGCACCGGCUAACUACGUG
rnacentral:rRNA from 1 species